AGACCAAAGAGGGGGACCUUCGGGCCUCUUGCCAUCGGAUGUGCCCAGAUGGGAUUAGCUUGUUGGUGAGGUAACGGCUCACCAAGGCGACGAUCCCUAGCUGGUCUGAGAGGAUGACCAGCCACACUGGAACUGAGACACGGUCCAGACUCCUACGGGAGGCAGCAGUGGGGAAUAUUGCACAAUGGGCGCAAGCCUGAUGCAGCCAUGCCGCGUGUAUGAAGAAGGCCUUCGGGUUGUAAAGUACUUUCAGCGGGGAGGAAGGGAGUAAAGUUAAUACCUUUGCUCAUUGACGUUACCCGCAGAAGAAGCACCGGCUAACUCCGUGCCAGCAGCCGCGGUAAUACGGAGGGUGCAAGCGUUAAUCGGAAUUACUGGGCGUAAAGCGCACGCAGGCGGUUUGUUAAGUCAGAUGUGAAAUCCCCGGGCUCAACCUGGGAACUGCAUCUGAUACUGGCAAGCUUGAGUCUCGUAGAGGGGGGUAGAAUUCCAGGUGUAGCGGUGAAAUGCGUAGAGAUCUGGAGGAAUACCGGUGGCGAAGGCGGCCCCCUGGACGAAGACUGACGCUCAGGUGCGAAAGCGUGGGGAGCAAACAGGAUUAGAUACCCUGGUAGUCCACGCCGUAAACGAUGUCGACUUGGAGGUUGUGCCCUUGAGGCGUGGCUUCCGGAGCUAACGCGUUAAGUCGACCGCCUGGGGAGUACGGCCGCAAGGUUAAAACUCAAAUGAAUUGACGGGGGCCCGCACAAGCGGUGGAGCAUGUGGUUUAAUUCGAUGCAACGCGAAGAACCUUACCUGGUCUUGACAUCCACGGAAGUUUUCAGAGAUGAGAAUGUGCCUUCGGGAACCGUGAGACAGGUGCUGCAUGGCUGUCGUCAGCUCGUGUUGUGAAAUGUUGGGUUAAGUCCCGCAACGAGCGCAACCCUUAUCCUUUGUUGCCAGCGGUCCGGCCGGGAACUCAAAGGAGACUGCCAGUGAUAAACUGGAGGAAGGUGGGGACGACGUCAAGUCAUCAUGGCCCUUACGACCAGGGCUACACACGUGCUACAAUGGCGCAUACAAAGAGAAGCGACCUCGCGAGAGCAAGCGGACCUCAUAAAGUGCGUCGUAGUCCGGAUUGGAGUCUGCAACUCGACUCCAUGAAGUCGGAAUCGCUAGUAAUCGUGGAUCAGAAUGCCACGGUGAAUACGUUCCCGGGCCUUGUACACACCGCCCGUCACACCAUGGGAGUGGGUUGCAAAAGAAGUAGGUAGCUUAACCUUCGGGAGGGCGCUUACCACUUUGUGAUUCAUGACUGGGGUGAAGUCGUAACAAGGUAACCGUAGGGGAACCUGCGGUUGGAUCACCUCCUU
rnacentral:rRNA from 1 species